GCAGAAUGCUUUUGUGAAUCUGUAAGGAAUUCUCAUCAUGAAUAUUUGUGUUAAAUUCAUCGUGGAUUGGAGAUGCUGUUACUGGGGUUGGGGAUGGACUUUUUUCUGGGUCAGUCAGACUCGGAGUGUCCAAUAAAACCGUGGAGAUAGAUCCUGAAUUCAGGAAGUCUUCACUGUCACUAUCCUUGCCUUUUUUACCUUGAGCCAAGAUCACCAUGUCUUGAACUUUCUUGUACCUAUUCAGAGAUUGUCGAAGCUCUUCUAUCUUUCGAUCCUUUUCUUCAUUUGCUGCCAUAAGAGAUUCUACCGCCUUCUUCAUUUUCUGUACCUCUAUAUCUCUGUCCAGUAUUUCAAUUCCUUCUCCUUUCAGCUUGCAGACCAAUUUUUCUUGCAACCUUUUUACCUCAGCUUCCUUCUGCUCCAGUUUCUCUUUCAAAGCUGAUAGUUCAUCUUUGGUUGUUUUAAGCUUUUUCUCAUACUGUAGUCUUUCAUUGUCCAUUUCUCCUACUCUUAAUCGCAAUUCAUUUAUCUCCUGGAUCAAGUCCUCUGUAUCUCUGAAUCUGUCCUCAUAGUCCAAUCUAUCCUUCUCUACAGAUGUAAGCUUUAGCUUCAGAUUGGAAAUCUCUGCCAUAAGAUCCAGCUUCUGAGUUUCAAGGGAUGUUCUGCUCAGAAGCUCCUGCUGCAGCAUCUCCUCUGUGGCAUUCAGCUUCUCCCUGUGCUCCUCUAGACAGAACUCCAGAUCCCGAAUCUUUUCUCCCUGGGCCUCCACCUGGUCUGUAAGUACGCUUACUUGCAGAACAAGAGAUUCCUUAUCAUUUUCCAGACGAGCCAGCCUUUCUUGAUA
rnacentral:lncRNA from 1 species